CCUACGGGAGGCAGCAGUGAGGAAUAUUGGUCAAUGGACGAGAGUCUGAACCAGCCAAGUAGCGUGAAGGAUGACUGCCCUCUGGGUUGUAAACUUCUUUUAUAUGGGAAUAAAAUGUUCCACGUGUGGGAUCUCGUAUGUACCAUAUGAAUAAGGAUCGGCUAACUUCGCGCCAGCAGCCGCGGUAAUACGGAGGAUCCGAGCGUUAUCCGGAUUUAUUGGGUUUAAAGGGAGCGUAGGUGGAUUGUUAAGUCAGUUGUGAAAGUUUGCGGCUCAACCGUAGAAUUGCAGUUGAAACUGGCAGUCUUGAGUGCAGUAGAGGUGAGCGGAAUUCGUGGUGUAGCGGUGAAAUGCGUAGAUAUCACGAAGAACUCCGGUUGCGAAGGCAGUUCACUGGACUGCAACUGACGCUGAGGCUCGAAAGUGUGGGUAUCAAACAGGAUUAGAUACCCGUGUAGUC
rnacentral:rRNA from 1 species